AUUUGUUGAUUAUUUAUCUCCUCCACUAAAAUGUAAAUUCUGGAAGAGCAGAGACUGUGUUUACUUCUACUACACUAAAGGAAUUGUCCAUGGACGAUUAUCCUGGUUUGGAUGAUACUUCCAAACUAUCUGGGAGGCCAUAGUUAAGCCAAGCUACACUGAAGGAUGGAGUGGGGCGGUAGCAGUUUAGCUCAUAGUGAAUUAUGACAUUUCCCCACGUUGGGAGUAGACUUUAAUAACCCAUCCCUCCAAAAACACAAUCACAUAGCCCUUACUGUGUUCUAUGCAAGGAUCCAAUCACUUUAUUUUGUGUCAUUUCAUCCUUAUAACACCAGCUGUAUAAGGAUGGACAAUGGAAGAGAGAACAGAGCAGAAUGAGAAGGAGCUGCUGGAGAACUACACAGAAAACAAGAGCACGUGGUUAAUGGGAAGCCAUGAAAAAAUGCCUCACACUAAGAACAGUCAACAUAUAAAAUCCUACAAGAGCUUGUUGACAUCUGCACUGAUCGUGCAAAACAAUGGUGGAUGAAACUGCUGAAGCCUUAGCAUGAAUCAAGACAGUGGGACUAAAUUUUUAGAUGAUUGGCUAAUCAGUGCCACCCCGAACAAGGAGCUUCUGGCCUGAAUCUGUUUCUUCACCUGCAAAAUGGAAAUAAGAUUUGCUUCCUACUGAAGCCUUCAUUUCUUUACUCUGAUCAACCCAGAAGGCAAUCAGAACUUGAAAUAUUUUUACCACGAUUUAAUUACUCAUCUCCAAUCCCUCAAGCAUCAAGCAGGAUGACCAACUCGGUGAACUUGAUAUUCGGCAUCAUUGGGAGCAGCUAUCCAUAGCCCUCAGAAUACGAGUCAGGGCCACCAGGGGCGGCUGAGAUUAGGCAGAAGCCAUGAAGGAGGAAGAGGUGAAGAGGUAUGAGGCCCAAGCAGCAGCGGAGUCCAGAAAGCAUCAACAAGCAUAAACGUCCUAAGGGCAGCGGCUCAACAUCCCUUGGAAGGUGCCCUUCCCAGUGUGAUCCAGAGCAGAGAGACCCAACGGGGUGGCCCCCUGCCUUUUCUGGAGACCAUGUUUCUAUUGAUACAGCAAAUCUGAACAAAU
rnacentral:lncRNA from 1 species